UCCCUGGUAGCUCAGUUGGUAAAGAAUCUGCCUGCAAUGCAGGAGAUCCAUCCAGGUUUGAUCCCUGGCUGGGGAA
rnacentral:tRNA from 1 species